UUACGGCUAUAUCACGUUGAAACACCGAUUGUCGUAGGAUCACCAAAGUUAAGCAGCGUCGAGUCUGGUCAGUAUCUAACUGGGUGACCUUUUGGGAAUGCCAGGUGCUGUAAG